rfam:Triticum urartu cultivar G1812 contig65016, whole genome shotgun sequence.
AAUAUACUCUCUCCGUCCGAAAAUACUUGUCAGAAAAAUAGAUAAAAAUGGAUGUAUCUAGAACUAAAAUACGUCUAGAUACAUCCAUUUAUCUGAUAAAUAUUUCCGGACGGUAAUCG